rnacentral:rRNA from 1 species
ACUCCUACGGGAGGCAGCAGUGGGGAAUAUUGCACAAUGGGCGCAAGCCUGAUGCAGCCAUGCCGCGUGUAUGAAGAAGGCCUUCGGGUUGUAAAGUACUUUCAGCGGGGAGGAAGGCGAUAAGGUUAAUAACCUUGUCGAUUGACGUUACCCGCAGAAGAAGCACCGGCUAACUCCGUGCCAGCAGCCGCGGUAAUACGGAGGGUGCAAGCGUUAAUCGGAAUUACUGGGCGUAAAGCGCACGCAGGCGGUCUGUCAAGUCGGAUGUGAAAUCCCCGGGCUCAACCUGGGAACUGCAUUCGAAACUGGAAGGCUAGAGUCUUGUAGAGGGGGGUAGAAUUCCAGGUGUAGCGGUGAAAUGCGUAGAGAUCUGGAGGAAUACCGGUGGCGAAGGCGGCCCCCUGGACAAAGACUGACGCUCAGGUGCGAAAGCGUGGGGAGCAAACAGGAUUAGAAACCCCAGUAGUCCCAUGA